rnacentral:rRNA from 5 species
AACUGCGAAUGGCUCAUUAAAUCAGUUAUCGUUUAUUUGAUAGUACCUUACUACAUGGAUACCUGUGGUAAUUCUAGAGCUAAUACAUGCUAAAAACCCCGACUUCAGGAAGGGGUGUAUUUAUUAGAUAAAAAACCAACGCCCUUCGGGGCUCCUUGGUGAAUCAUAAUAACUUAACGAAUCGCAUGGCCUUGCGCCGGCGAUGGUUCAUUCAAAUUUCUGCCCUAUCAACUUUCGAUGGUAGGAUAGUGGCCUACCAUGGUGGCAACGGGUAACGGGGAAUUAGGGUUCGAUUCCGGAGAGGGAGCCUGAGAAACGGCUACCACAUCCAAGGAAGGCAGCAGGCGCGCAAAUUACCCAAUCCCGAUACGGGGAGGUAGUGACAAUAAAUACUGAUACGGGGCUCUUUUGGGUCUCGUAAUUGGAAUGAGAACAAUUUAAAUCCCUUAACGAGGAACAAUUGGAGGGCAAGUCUGGUGCCAGCAGCCGCGGUAAUUCCAGCUCCAAUAGCGUAUAUUAAAGUUGUUGCAGUUAAAAAGCUCGUAGUUGAACCUUGGGCCUGGCUGGCCGGUCCGCCUCACCGCGAGUACUGGUCCGGCUGGGCCUUUCCUUCUGGGGAACCUCAUGGCCUUCACUGGCUGUGGGGGGAACCAGGACUUUUACUGUGAAAAAAUUAGAGUGUUCAAAGCAGGCCUUUGCUCGAAUACAUUAGCAUGGAAUAAUAGAAUAGGACGUGUGGUUCUAUUUUGUUGGUUUCUAGGACCGCCGUAAUGAUUAAUAGGGAUAGUCGGGGGCGUCAGUAUUCAGCUGUCAGAGGUGAAAUUCUUGGAUUUGCUGAAGACUAACUACUGCGAAAGCAUUCGCCAAGGAUGUUUUCAUUAAUCAGGGAACGAAAGUUAGGGGAUCGAAGACGAUCAGAUACCGUCGUAGUCUUAACCAUAAACUAUGCCGACUAGGGAUCGGACGGGAUUCUAUAAUGACCCGUUCGGCACCUUACGAGAAAUCAAA